rnacentral:rRNA from 1 species
AUGAACGCUGGCGGCGUGCCUAAUACAUGCAAGUCGAGCGAACGGACGAGAAGCUUGCUUCUCUGAUGUUAGCGGCGGACGGGUGAGUAACACGUGGAUAACCUACCUAUAAGACUGGGAUAACUUCGGGAAACCGUAGCUAAUACCGGAUAAUAUUUUGAACCGCAUGGUUCAAAAGUGAAAGACGGUCUUGCUGUCACUUAUAGAUGGAUCCGCGCUGCAUUAGCUAGUUGGUAAGGUACGGCUUACCAAGGCAACGAUGCAUAGCCGACCUGAGAGGGUGAUCGGCCACACUGGAACUGAGACACGGUCCAGACUCCUACGGGAGGCAGCAGUAGGGAAUCUUCCGCAAUGGGCGAAAGCCUGACGGAGCAACGCCGCGUGAGUGAUGAAGGUCUUCGGAUCGUAAAACUCUGUUAUUAGGGAAGAACAUAUGUGUAAGUAACUGUGCACAUCUUGACGGUACCUAAUCAGAAAGCCACGGCUAACUACGUG